rnacentral:lncRNA from 1 species
CUAGAAGCUCCCGACUUUGGUAACACCAACAACGUAACUAAUGAGAUGUGGACCAAACAGACUGAAAACAAUGAAGAUGGAUUGUUGGAAGGGAGCAGGGAGCCAGAAGAUGUUGCAAUUCCUGAUGUGAAACCCGAGUCUUCAAAGAAUUCCUACUCCCCAAGAUUUUCAGAGGGGAAUUACUGGCACUUGCGUUUCCGCUGGUCAGGCGAUGCUCCAUCAGACCUUCUGAGGAAAUUCAGAAACUAUGAGAUCUAAAAUGAGAAACACACAAGAGCAUGAGAUCAUCUGUUCAACAGUUCAGUAUUUUACUUUGCCAGCAGUUAUAAGUUAUUUGUAUUUUGUAUUCUUUGAUUGUAAUGUGUUGUUCCAAUCAAUGUCUAAAUACUGAUUAAUCACAUAUGUGUGGGCAUUAUCAAUGGAGGUUUUUCUGUUUAAUAAGCAAAGCUCUUUUCAGUAUUAACAUAAAGCGAUUUUGUGAAGUUAUCUAACAUCUUAUAUAUUGUUUCUUGUAUUCUCAAGUAUUGUGUAGUGAUUAAUAUUUCUCUCAAUAGUGUGAUGUUAUAAAAAACAUAUUCUAACUAGGACCCUGAACUCAGGGUAUCCUAUUCAACUGUGAUCUUCCAAAAGCUGUAUGACAAUGAAUCAUGCUUAUUUGUGAGCUCUGUGCUCUGCUUCACUUCUCCAUUGCAUUGUGCUCACCACAGUGAUUUAUAAUGUACUCAUUACAAACUUGUAGGAGAAUUGUGAUCUUGUGCUAUACAUGAAAUAAGGUUCUUGUUAUCCAAGGUCUCUGCAACAGAUCAAGCACUCCUAAAAAUCACUUGUUUUCUACCUUAACAAGUACACUUUCUGUAGCAGCUAUUUAUUUUGGAAGGCAGUUCCAGAACUUUUCUUCUCCAGAUAGCAAUUUUUGUCUUAAGAUUUAUCGGUGGAAAACUGAUUCCCCGUGUAUGUGUGCCAACAUUGUCCUGUGGCUUCAUAGCAAUUUCCCUCCUUGCUCAGGUGUGGUAAACACUGUUUUAUCAGGGUUUUGUAGGGUGAGGAAUGAAAAAUCAGACUAGUCAGCACUAAUGUGUACAAAAUCUCACAUGAAAAGUUUUUGGUACUUUAGGCAACUGUUCAAAUUCUACAUGGUUGUUUAUUUAUUUUGUGUUUGUUUGCUUCUUUGCAAACUUGGCUAAUAUGCCAGGUAUUGACAUUGUGGUUUUGUUCAGGCAGAUAAUUCCAUCAUCAGCAAAUAAAACUGCUUGUAUACA